AGACCACUCCCCAGGGCUCCUGUACCCAUGUUGGUAGGGUCCAUUCAAAAAUGGUGAGUGGGUGAAGGGUGAGUUAUCCUGGCCAAACGGAGCAGGAAGGCCAGUGGUCAGAAUUGGUCACUUAGUCCUAGGCCCUCUGACUUGCUAGCAUGCACAGGUAUGUUCUGGGAGGAGAGCCAUCUCCUUGAUGGUCUCUUAACUCCCUGGGGCUGGGGGCUGGGCUGGUGCUGGCCCACUGAAGAGAACCCUGGAAGGUCCUUCUUGGCAGCCUGCAUUUCAUUGGCCAGUGAGGGAGGGAGCAUUCAUGCCAGGGAAUAAAGGAGGUUAUGUAGCCAUCAGUGCUUUGGAGCAAAUUACAGCCAAGUUUUGUAAAUUCUGUGGUGUUGAGGUAGCUAAACCAUUGAACAUAAAGAAUGGCAACACAGAGGCUCUUGAAAUGAUACACUUCAUGGCUGGGGGGUGGGUGAUGAGAAUUUGGACCUGAGGUUUGGGACCUGAGCAGGACUGUCCACAACCAGGGGACAACCCUUGGUCCAGAACUAGAAAUUAGGGACAGGAGGCCUUGGAGGCAUAAGAUUUUACUGAUGAGGAGAAACUCAUGCCUACCUUUCCCAGCAGGGAUCUUCCUACAAAUCCUCUGAGGGCAGGGGCACGGCAACUAGAUCCUGGUCAAGAAUGAUUGUGAAGGGCACUCUUGGUGGUGGCAGACCUGGGAGAGCAGAGGAUGGGAAGCUGACCUGGCCAGUGGGGAUGAGGAAAGAGGUUGGACAGUAGGUUGGUUCCCUCUUCACACUUCCAGCCUUGUCCAGAAGCAGAAGCCUGAUAUGUAGAGUCUGAAAAACUCCUAAGGGGCUCUUCUGUGAUGUUCAAGUCCAGCUGUGGGCAAAUCAGGAUGGCUUCCAUGUGCCAGGUCCUGGCUGCUGUGGCUCUCUCCUCUGCACAGAAGAAUUGGGCCUAGUGGAUUUCAUUUGCACAGAGGGCGACGGCUCCCAGACCUCCACCUCCAGACUAGACCCCUUUCCUGAGCUCCAGACCCAUGCUGGAGCUGCAGGGGAGGUCCCCAAGCUACUCAAUCUCAAAUCUCUGGAACUGAGCUCAGGACCAACUACUCUGCAGCCACUGGGCUAUUUCACAUCUCAGGGAAAGGCACCACCAUUCACUCUGCCCCUUGCUCCUUUCUUUCUCUUACCUCCACAUCCAGUAAAUUACCAACUCUGAAAUCACCUCCUAAAUGCCGUAUACACCAAAUAUAGGUAUUUCUCCCACAAAAAUCUUCAUAAAAUUUUUUUUACUCAAAAAAGAGUUUACUUACAUUUCAGUCUUUACAAAAUCCCUCAUAUAACGGGAUGCUCUCUCACCUUGUUUUGAACCAAAAAGCACUUUUUGGAAAAAAGACAUUACCCUGAAAUGACCUCAGUCAAGCUAGUUUUGGACGAUUAUAAGUAGUCCCCUGACAAAAUCAGUAAACGAAGCAAAGAAAUUUACCACAGACUUAGUAAUUAUUUCUCACAAUCCCAAGUAUUACAUAUAAACAAGCCUCUUAAAGGACACUUUAAUAGCAAGACAGCAUUGUUUUUUUUUAGGCUUGGUAAUGGUAUGAAGAUCUAUCUAUCUAUCUAUACACAUACACACUUAAAAUUUGUGUCAAAAUAAUAUGGAAGGGGUUAGUGAGUGGGUGGAGUUUGACAUGAAACAAGAGUGCCCAUCAAUUCAUAAUUGAAGCUGGCUGAUGGGUACAAGGAAGUUCACUGUACUCUCUUGUCUACACUUACAUACAUUUGAAAUUUUCCAUAAAAUUUUUAAUGCAAUACAGUAAGUAGUUAUUAUGCAGAUCAUUAAUAUAUACCUAUGGGAGAAAUGAAAAGAAAGCUGUUUUAAUGUCACAAAAGAUAAUUAUGCUUAGAUUAAAAUUUCUAGUAAUAGCAUCACAUACUGACUCGAAAAGUAUUUUCAACAACACGAAUGAGUCUCAAAAACAUACUGAACAUAGACCACGGUUACAUACUCCUUGAUUCCAUUUAUGUGAAAUUCUAGAAUAGGCAAAAACUACUCUGGAGUGAUGGAAAGUACGUUAGUGAUUGCUGGACGGGAGGGCAGGGGAGACUGACUACAAAAGGGGCACUGAGAAACCAGGGUGAUGGAAAUGUUCUGUACCUUGAUUGGGUAGAGGUUACAUGAGGGCAUACAUUCGUCAAAGCUCACCAUUUUUUUUUUUUAAUAUGUAAGUUAUUCCUCAGUCAAGCCGAUUUUUCAAAAGUACUCAAACAAUUUAGAAAGCAGUGAAGGUGAUGUGCCUUCAGAAAUUAUAUUAGAUGACUCAAAGUAGCUCACCUGGUGACAACUACAUAGAAAUCAAAUAUUCAUAGAGAGUUCGAACAUAAGUUUAUUACCGCAAAUGUGAGAGCGGGGAAAAAUAAAUAUUCAUAAAUUAAUAUACUGUUUUAAAUA
ensembl:lncRNA